rnacentral:rRNA from 1 species
UACGUAGGGGGCAAGCGUUGUCCGGAAUUAUUGGGCGUAAAGGGCGCGUAGGCGGCGAUUCAAGUGACGGGUGAAAUCCCUCGGCUUAACCGAGGAACUGCCUGUCAGACUGGAUUGCUUGAGUCCGGGAGAGGCGAGUGGAAUUCCCAGUGUAGCGGUGAAAUGCGUAGAUAUUGGGAGGAACACCAGUGGCGAAGGCGGCUCGCUGGACCGGAACUGACGCUGAGUGAGCGAAAGCCAGGGGAGCAAACGGG